AGGAGAAAAGAAACAACAAAAAGAAAAUGGAAAAGAGAAAUGCAACAGCGAUAAUCGUGUCGAUGCUUCUUUUUGUUCCUCCCCCUCCUCAUCCUUUGGUUCCU
rnacentral:ribozyme from 1 species